CAUCUCACGAUAACAAAGUUGGCGAGGAACUGGAUAAGCUCAGAGGAUGAGUUGAAGAGGAUAAAGGAGGUUGUGAGCACAUUUGCCUUAGGAAAUGACCUCACCAUAUGUUGCUAUGCUUGUAGCUCAAGAUGUUGCAACACAAUUGCAGGGGGAAUGAAGGUCAAAGCUGAUAAAGAUGGGUCCUCGCCUCAUGUUUCUAUGCUUGCAACCCAAAAUGUUGCAACAUGGUAAUAGGUUAACUGCUAAACCAUCCUAUGCAAAUCCUGCCAUUAUUCAGC